UGCCAUUGAUUUGAUAGCAGAGCAGC
rnacentral:piRNA from 1 species